GGGGGUGUAGCUCAGUGGUAGAGGGCAUAUUUAGCAUAUGUGAGGUCCUGGGUUCAAUCCCCCAGCACCACACA
rnacentral:tRNA from 1 species